rnacentral:rRNA from 1 species
AUUGAACGCUGGCGGCAUGCUUUACACAUGCAAGUCGAACGGUAACAGGGAGCUUGCUCCGCUGACGAGUGGCGAACGGGUGAGUAAUGCAUCGGAACGUACCGUGUAAUGGGGGAUAACGUAGCGAAAGUUACGCUAAUACCGCAUACGCCCUGAGGGGGAAAGUGGGGGACCGCAAGGCCUCACGUUAUACGAGCGGCCGAUGUCGGAUUAGCUAGUUGGUGGGGUAAAGGCCUACCAAGGCGACGAUCCGUAGCGGGUCUGAGAGGAUGAUCCGCCACACUGGGACUGAGACACGGCCCAGACUCCUACGGGAGGCAGCAGUGGGGAAUUUUGGACAAUGGGGGCAACCCUGAUCCAGCCAUGCCGCGUGAGUGAAGAAGGCCUCGGUUGUAA